AUUGAACGCUGGCGGCAGGCCUAACACAUGCAAGUCGAGCGAGCGGCGGACGGGUGAGUAAUGUAUGGGGACUGCCCGAUAGAGGGGGAUAACUACUGGAAACGGUAGCUAAUACCGCAUACUAUCGGAUAACCCAUAUGGGAUUAGCUAGUUGGUGAGGUAAUGGCUCACAAAGGCGACGAUCCCUAGCUGGUCUGAGAGGAUGAUCAGCAACACUGGAACUGAGACACGGCCCAGGCUCCUACGGAGGCAACGUUGGGGAAUAUUGCACAAUGGGCGCAACCCUGAUGCAGCCAUGCCGCGGGUAUGAAGAAGGCCCUAGGGUUGUAAAGUACUUUCAGUCGGAAGGCGUUACCGACAGAAGAAGCACCGGCUAACUCCGUGCCAGCAGCCGCGGUAAUUC
rnacentral:rRNA from 1 species